GACGAACGCUGGCGGCGUGCCUAACACAUGCAAGUCGCACGGGAUUGGGGGCAACUCCAGUUCAGUGGCAGAUGGGUGCGUAACACGUGAGGAACUUGUCCGACGGCGGGGGAUAGCCGGCCCAACGGCCGGGUAAUACCGCGUACGCUCAUUUGGGGACAUCCCCGGGUGAGGAAAGCAGCCGCAAGGUUGCGCCGAUGGAGAGCCUCGCGGCGUAUCAGCUAGUGGCGGGGUAACGGCCCACCAAGGCUACGACGCGUAGCUGGUCUGAGAGGAUGGCCAGCCACAUUGGGACUGAGACACGGCCCAGACUCCUACGGGAGGCAGCAGGUGGGGAAUAUUGCGCAAUGGCCGAAAGGCUGACGCAGCGA
rnacentral:rRNA from 1 species